GACGAACGCUGGCGGCGUGCCUAACACAUGCAAGUCAACUUGACUGAAGGAGCAAUCUGACAGUAGAGUGGCGCAAGGGUGCGUAACGCGUAAGUAACUUGCCCAAGGUAAGGAAUAACGUCGAGAAAUCGGCGCUAAUACCUCAUAAUGCAGCGGAUCCGCAUGGAUAUGUUGUUAAAGGUUUACCGCCUUGGGAUAGGCUUGCGUCUGAUUAGCUAGUUGGUGUGGUAACGGCACACCAAGGCUACGAUCAGUAACUGGUCUGAGAGGAUGAUCAGUCACACUGGAACUGAGACACGGUCCAGACUCCUACGGGAGGCAGCAGUGAGGAAUAUUGGGCAAUGCUCGAAAGAGUGACCCAGCAACGCCGCGUGGAGGAUGAAGGUAUUCUAUAUCGUAAACUCCUGUGAGAGCAGACGAAAGACAGAUUAUUAAUCUGGAUGACUGUAUGCUCAGAGGAA
rnacentral:rRNA from 1 species